UGGGGAAUAUUGCACAAUGGGCGAAAGCCUGAUGCAGCAACGCCGCGUGAGUGAUGAAGGUCUUCGGAUUGUAAAGCUCUGUCUUUUGGGACGAUAAUGACGGUACCAAAGGAGGAAGCCACGGCUAACUACGUGCCAGCAGCCGCGGUAAUACGUAGGUGGCGAGCGUUGUCCGGAUUUACUGGGCGUAAAGGGUGCGUAGGCGGAUGUUUAAGUGAGAUGUGAAAUACCCGGGCUUAACUUGGGUGCUGCAUUUCAAACUGGAUAUCUAGAGUGCAGGAGAGGAGAAUGGAAUUCCUAGUGUAGCGGUGAAAUGCGUAGAGAUUAGGAAGAACACCAGUGGCGAAGGCGAUUCUCUGGACUGUAACUGACGCUGAGGCACGAAAGCGUGGGUAGCAAACAGGAUUAGAUACCCUGGUAGUCCACGCCGUAAACGAUGAGUACUAGGUGUAGGAGGUAUCGACCCCUUCUGUGCCGCAGUAAACACAUUAAGUACUCCGCCUGGGAAGUACGAUCGCAAGAUUAAA
rnacentral:rRNA from 1 species